CUUCCUACGGGGGGUAGCAGUGAGGAAUAUUGGUCAAUGGGCGGAAGCCUGAACCAGCCAAGUCGCGUGAGGGAAUAAGGCCCUACGGGUCGUAAACCUCUUUUGCCGGGGAGCAAGGGCCGGGACGAGUCCCGGUCCGGAGAGUACCCGGAGAAAAAGCAUCGGCUAACUCCGUGCCAGCGGCCGCGGUAAUACGGAGGAUGCGAGCGUUAUCCGGAUUUAUUGGGUUUAAAGGGUGCGUAGGCGGGCUUUUAAGUCAGCGGUAAAAAUUCGGGGCUCAACCCCGUCCGGCCCGUUAAACUUGG
rnacentral:rRNA from 1 species